CCUUGAUCUCAGAUCAGGCAGGAUGACCCGCUGAACUUAAGCAUAUCAGUAAGCGGAGGAAAAGAAACUAACCAGGAUUCCCUUAGUAACGGCGAGUGAAGCGGGAAUAGCCCAAUUUUAAAAGCUAGUCAACCCUUUGUGUUGGUCUCGCAUUGUAAAUUGAUGGAACGUUACCUAGUGUUAAGCCUUUCGGUCAAAGUCUCUUGGAACAGAGCGUCAAAGAGGGUGAUAACCCCGUGGAUGGCCGAAUGACAUACCAGCUUAAUACGUUGCGGUGCGUUUCCUUAGAGUCGGAAUGUUUGGGAUUGCAUUCCAAAGUGGGUGGUAAACUCCAUCUAAGGCUAAAUACUGGCGAGAGACCGAUAGCGAACAAGUACCGUGAGGGAAAGUUGAAAAGCACUCUGGAGAGAGAGUCAAACAGUACGUGAAAUUGCUAGCAGGGAAACGUUGGGCACCAGUACGCGGCAAUCAACGUCAAUGAUCAGUCGGGCGUAGUUGAAGCAAGGCGUGUUGUUAACACUUUAAAGACUAUCCCAGGA
rnacentral:rRNA from 1 species